rnacentral:rRNA from 1 species
AGACGGGGACCCGCACAAGCGGUGGAUGAUGUGGAUUAAUUCGAUGCAACGCGAAGAACCUUACCUACCCUUGACAUGUCCGGAACUUGCCAGAGAUGGCUUGGUGCCCGAAAGGGAAUCGGAACACAGGUGCUGCAUGGCUGUCGUCAGCUCGUGUCGUGAGAUGUUGGGUUAAGUCCCGCAACGAGCGCAACCCUUAUCAUUAGUUGCUACGCAAGGGCACUCUAAUGAGACUGCCGGUGACAAACCGGAGGAAGGUGGGGAUGGCGUCAAGUCCUCAUGGCCCUUAUGGGUAGGGCUUCACACGUCAUACAAUGGUCGGUACAGAGGGUUGCCAAGCCGCGAGGCGGAGCCAAUCCCACAAAGCCGAUCGUAGUCCGGAUUGUUCUCUGCAACUCGAGAGCAUGAAGUCGGAAUCGCUAGUAAUCGCAGGUCAGCAUACUGCGGUGAAUACGUUCCCGGGUCUU